rnacentral:piRNA from 1 species
UAGAUACUUGCAUUUUCCCUC